GCCGCCUUAGUUAAAUGGUAUAACGGAGCCAUGGUAAGGCUCAAUCAUAAGUUCGAUUCUUAUAGGCGGCACCA
rnacentral:tRNA from 1 species